UGACGCUGUAUCGGGUUGGGGAGGAAUCGUCCAUAUCAUUGAGAAAGACCAAGUCACAACUACAGAACUCAAAGGAAGAAUGGAUUGAUGCCCCAUCAACCUAGCUACAUUAGUGCUUCAAACUCUGUUCUGGGUCAUGACAGUCAGAAUUUCCUCUGACUUCAGGGCUAGUGCUGAAAACUUUUCUCAGUGUCAUCAUAAUUUUUUGUCUACUUCAUGUUUAUGUGCAGUUUUGAAUAAACAACUUAAAAUAUACAACAC
rnacentral:misc_RNA from 1 species